GAUGAACGCUGGCGGCGUGCCUAAUACAUGCAAGUCGAGCGAACGGACGAGAAGCUUGCUUCUCUGAUGUUAGCGGCGGACGGGUGAGUAACACGUGGAUAACCUACCUAUAAGACUGGGAUAACUUCGGGAAACCGUAGCUAAUACCGGAUAAUAUUUUGAACCGCAUGGUUCAAAAGUGAAAGACGGUCUUGCUGUCACUUAUAGAUGGAUCCGCGCUGCAUUAGCUAGUUGGUAAGGUAACGGCUUACCAAGGCAACGAUGCAUAGCCGACCUGAGAGGGUGAUCGGCAACACUGGAACUGAGACACGGUCCAGACUCCUACGGGAGGCAGCAGUAGGGAAUCUUCCGCAAUGGGCGAAAGCCUGACGGAGCAACGCCGCGUGAGUGAUGAAGGUCUUCGGAUCGUAAAACUCUGUUAUUAGGGAAGAACAGAGGUGUAAGAAAAUGUGCACAUCUUGACGGUACCUAAUCAGAAAGCCACGGCUAACUACGUG
rnacentral:rRNA from 1 species